rnacentral:lncRNA from 1 species
CGGCGCAGCCUCAGCUCAACUCCGUGUUGAUGGAUGCUUGCUGGCUUUGUUAGUUAACUCCGUGUUGAUGUGAUGUUUCUACUCUUCUUGUGUUUGGAUGGUUGAUUUAAGAAGUGAAGGGCAAAGAAUGUAGGUGUAGGAUAUGGCUGUGGGAGGAUUUAGAAAGUGUUCAUUUGUAAUCAGUGUGUUGUCUUUUGAGUUGCUGUUUAUGGUGGGGAAAAGAAAAGAGUGCAGCUUAGCUUUGCUGGGAAAAUCAUCAUCUGGUCACUGCUUGCUUCUUUGUCUUGCUGCUGCUUUACUAUUGUCAAGAUUGUCUCACAGUGAGCCAAGGUGUGAUUGUUAUGAUAGUUGUAAUCAACAUUCUAUCACUCAUGGAGAGUUUGUUAUGGAUGGCCCUUGCGUAACUAUCAACUGGGUACUUUGAAUUUCACAGUUGCUGCAGGAAUUGAACUAUCAACUAGUGCUGUGAGUUUUACAGUUGCUGCACCAAUUGAACUAUCAACCGGGCACUGUGAGUUUCACAGUUCCUGCUGGAAUUGAACUGUUUGUAGUAUGAAUUCCUAUGGAAUUCCUGGGCGCCACAGAACACUGCCAUUACACUACUGAAGACGAGGGACGGCUGAACAUCAAUGAGGGCAUGAAAGUUGCAAGCUGCGGCUGUAACUAAUGUCACUGGAUACGAUAUCUGUUCUUCUCAACCUUGAACUUUUCCAUUCCCUCCGCCCCGUAGGGUGUAUAGGGCGGGGUGCGGGUGCUCCUAGGUCGGUAAUUUGAUUGACUAACCAAAUAUAUAUUUGUGAUGAAAAACAUAUGUUUAGAAGCUUCAUCUUGUGUAUGAUUAUAAUGAUAUGCUUUUCAUGACAUACAAUUUGAUUAGUCAAAUCAACGACCGUCCUAUGCGCCGGACCUGAGGGAGGGUGUGAAUUCACGAGGGUUCAGAACAAAAGCACCAUAGCCAGAAGAUAAGCCUCAUGGAAGAAACGAACCUUUGUGCUGCCUGUAAACCUGCAACUGCACACCCUACACCUGCAGCGGCCAUAAGGACUCGACAUAUCAAAUUUGAAAUCUCGGACAGGUGCCAUGUUUUCUCGCAUGACAAAAGCGGAAAACCAAAGGCAACCACUCCAUCGGAAUGGAACAUCACCAGCUAACAAGCCAACCAAACAUGAACUAACAGGCAUAAUGUAUAUCGCCAAUGGUUGCAGAUAAUUCAGGUCCAACUGCUUAGAACUCAUCAGAGCAAGCAGAGUACACAACUUUGCCAACAAUUCUGACUCAAAAUUCGAUAAAACUUCAAAGCUAAAGUCAACGGUAUAAAACCCACCAGGCCGGCUGAUCACGGGAUAAUUCGGAACAUAGGUUCAUUCCUAAGGUAAAAGUGAUGUCAUCAUGGUCUGAUGGGAGGUAUGACAACAAGGAGACUAUGUAACUUUCAGAAGUCGCAGCCUUUCAGUGUCUUUGCCUGUAUCUUCUGUAUGUAUCAUGGAAAUUCGCUAGCAAAAAACUGAAGUCACAGCAACCCGGCAGAAUCAGUAAUAGGGAUAGAACCUGGGUGACCUCCUGAACCUGGGUGACCUCCUGCAGAGAAAAACAGAACAUCAGAAAGGUCAUCCUGGGAAUUCUGUUUGAAUUUCUCUCAUCUUGGGCCCCAUUUUGGAUUUUUGGUAACCUCAGGAAAAGAGGAGAUCCCAGGGAAUAAAAGUUCGCCUGAAUGUUUGGUGCACAACUAGUCGGAUGCAUUAGAAGAAUGGCCUCCGCAUGUCAUAUUCUUCGAAUCCUUUCAUUUACUUUAUAUUAUAUACAGUUUACGAUUGAAAUUCUGCUCUAUUCAAACAGAAGUACUGGGUUGGUUUUGAUUAGGCUUAGGCAAAAUUUCCAAUGAAAUCAGGAUAAACCAAAAUUAAGCUGAAAAGAUCAAUAUCUAGAAACAGUCGCUAAAAAAUGAUUCACCUAGAAAAAUUCACUAUAUACGGGCUGAAAUGUGUCUUUAUAUAUCCAAUUCAGAAAGAAGUUAGAACAUCUUAUAUUUGUGAACGGAGGGAGUACUAAAACAGCAGAUGAGAAUGCCAUAAACCUCAGGAAGAAAUGGGAUGGUAAAAUCAAGAAAGAAAGUAUCAUCUCAGUAGCAGUCAUAAUUUAUUAAAAGUGCUUGCCGAAAUCCAGAUUCUUGGCGUAACAAAUGGCAAUGCAAAACUUUCUGGCUCUGUGUGCUACUGCAUAUUGGAAAGUUCUUCAUGGACAUGCUAGAAGUACACUUUAGGAUAAGAAACAAAACUAGAAGAAAACCUCACAUUUCCAACAUAGAUGGAGCGAGCAUCCACCUCUGCCUUUUCGAGUGCGGUUACCGCUGCAGCUGGAUCUUCUGAAAAAAUAGACCGAAGGAGGAAAAAAGUGUAAACAGAUUGUAGAGUUUAAUGGCUAACUGAAGGCAGAGAGUCCAUUAAAAAUAAUGAAACAACGGCAUGGCAUGGCACUCAUGAUCAGAAAGAAUCAAACGCAAAAGAAAGAAGAUGCCGCCGCUUAGGAUCUUUAAUCAGCAUCUAUGUUUCUAUUUAUAACCAUACUUAUUAAGUAAGUAUGUAAAGGGUGAGGCUUGAAGCAAACACUUAAUCGUGUACACAAUAUCAUCUUUAAAUGCACCAUAUGUGUGCAUUUUAAACCAGGUCAUCUCACAUUUCUCUUUGCUGUCAGAAAAAUAUCAGAAGCAGCAGUAAGCAUGUACCAGUAGAAGAAGAAAAAAAGGUAACAACCAUAAAACCAUGCUUUCCAUAGAACAUGUUCAUCAACUUCAAACCAUCAUCAUGGUAACCUAUUCUUACAGCUUUGGUUAUGAUAUUUUCAAAUGCACCAUAUGUGUGCAUUAUUAUUUCGAAUCAGGUACGUAAGCAGACCCCUUUCCUAAUUUACAUCGUUCAUGAUUGAUUUGGGGCAUUCUUUAGUGUCAUUUGUCUAAAAAAUUACUCCGUUCAGAACUGAAUUCCAUCUGGACACAUCGGUAACAUUUCGGGAAAUGUGGAAUGCAGGAUGAGCUCAAUGACUUGAUGAUGCUCUACAAAAGUGCAAUUGUUGACGCUAGAAAAUAACAUUCUAAUAACCGUCUCCGGAUAGUAAAUGUGACGAGUUGCGAGAAGAAAGAUGGUUUACACUUUACAACAAUUGUAGUAAAUAAUGCUUAGCAACACUAAUCCACCACGUAACCAGGUGAGUCUAAGUAAUGCACCAUUAUUAUACCCCUACUCCAAAAGACAGCCAUGUACGUAGCCCGCCCACGAGGCGCUACGGUCCUGCUUUACGCGUAUAGGGGGCUGCCUAGCCCAUGAUUAGGUGCCGACAUCACCCCCGCUGCCUGGCUAUCACCUUAAACACUGUAACAAUCCUUACCAAAGCUGUUCAAAUGCAUAUUACUGGUACAACACAAAUCAACAGAGCAAUGAAAUGAACAAACACACAAUGCUGAAAAGAUGCACUCACCCAGCACCUACAAGUACUCGAAGGCAGCAACUAUUCCGACAACCAACCACACAGAGGUCGUCAGAAACGAAGAAACUAGGAGCCUGUUGACUGGAAAGUGAAGAUCAAACCGAUCACCUAGUGUCAGCGAUUCCACAUCGAGAGUAGCACAAAUCUAAUCACAUGAAUGACGCCCAAGUAACAAGGCGCUCGGGAUCUCACGUGCAUCCAACCAAUUUCACUCCGGGCAACCACCAAAGACGAAACAAAGCGCUAAUUACACGAGCAGAAACGGAGAGGGUGGUGGCGACUAGACAGAUUACCAUGCGUAGCGGCGGCGGCGACGGCUAGCAUCUCGCGCUCGGUCUCCUCCAACUCCCGCAGCCUCCUCCGCAUAUCAUCGAUCUGCUGCACAUCACCAUACCGUACCCUAUCCUCGUUAGCACCCGACGCCACGAACACCGCAGGCGCUCAAACCCUCGAAACGCGAGGCAAAGAGGCUACGCUGCAAGCUGUAACACACGCACGCACGCGAACCUGGUCCACGGAGGAGCGGUUGCGGUUGAAUCCGUCGCCGCUGCCGCCGUUCCCGCCCUCGCCAUUGCCUCCGGCGGCAGGGAGGACCUCGCCGUUCUCGAUCGGGAGUGCGCGAUUGCCCGAGGCCAUCUCGCCGCCGCCGCAAGUGCUGGUUCGCUUGGUGCUCUCCCUCUUCAGUUACUUUUGUCUUGGUGAUGACUAGCUCCUGUUGCCUCUUUUGGCGUGGCUUGGUUGGUUGGAGAGUACUUGUACACUUCAGACGGGAAAGCGAGUGGAAGAUCCCACGGUUCUGUGUCUACAGAUGUCAGAUCGGACGGUCGGUUCGACCCACCCUAAAAAAUGGAAGGGGGUUGUCGUUUCAAAAUAAAAACCCUAGAGAAAGCACGGUAGAAAAAAAACAUAGGGGAACUGUAAGAGAAAUCCCUAGAGAAAAUAUAAGAAAAUUAUAUUCUUUUCCAGCUAACUUCAUUUUUUUCUUUGAAAUGUUAACUCUAUGCUGACAUAGGGUAGCCGUUGGUUAUAGGAACAUCACAAAUUUCACAACACAAGAGAUAGUUGUCGUGGGGUAGACAACACUAAGCACAACUAAUGCAGGAGAUAUGUGUGUCAAACUGGAAGAUCAUGAGUAGAUCUACAUAUCUUAGUUUUCUCGCAUCUUUGACUUCAAGAAGUCUAGCAAGACUUUGACCAUUGUCACCAUAGUCGCUUUCUUGCGACAACUCCAACAUGGACCUCCUUCGUGAGGUGAUGGUCAUCAUCAUUGGCUAUGGAUCAAAGGCGCUUUAGUCACACAAGGUGGCUUCACGGCAUCACCCCUAUGAGUUACCCCCUCUUCUUUUCUACUUAGUCGACAAAUAUCAGUUAGUAAGGGUGGAGCUCUAAGAUGACAGCCGGAUGCAUUCUCGGUCGUCAAAUUAUAACGACGCUUCAAAUCCAUGACUUUUCUCAUGCAAGCCCAUUAUUACGCACUUGAGCGCUAGAUUUGUCGCAUCUUGAUGAUUGGUGGGACCACAACAUUCAAGCCAUAUGCAAGGAGGAGGGUAAAUCCUUGGCGUAUUUUCGAACAUUUCGGAGGGAGAAACUGACAUUUUUUGGUAUGUCUUUGUCAAUCACUAACGUGGACCAUAAAGUGACGAAGGACAUAAUCAAGAGGGCGUAAUGUUACAGACCAUCUCCAUGAAUGCCAUGAUCAUGCUCGGUUGGGCAUGCUAACUCUUGGAAACUUUAAAACUUCCAGGAAAUUGGUAAGUUUUCCAAGGUUACCGAGGUAAGUUGGUAGUCAAAUCGGUAACCCAUUUUUGGCUUUGCCUAAAUAUUGCCAUGCCAUUUUAUGGAAUCAAACCAAGCGCACCUCAUAAAUAUCAGCAAUGGGGUGUGCAAUGGCGUAUCCGGUGAGUUGAAGAUUAAGUCAUCAGGGAUGGAGGUGGACGAUCUAGAUGGAGUACCCAGAUUGAAUCUACGAGUGUGCUAACUACACUCCAAGGGUUCUUGAAGCGUUCGAAGGACACCUUCCACCUAAGGACAUGCUCUUAUAUGGGGGUCUUGGUUGGCGACCGUCGACCUCCGUCUUGAUCAUCUUGGCAUGCAAUUAUUGGACUCUUCCGUCUUUGGUAGUAUCCUUUUAAUGAAACCAGGGGUGCCACUUCUAAGGGAACCAUCUCCUCAGGCAUGCCCCCCCCCCCUUCCUAAGUGACACACAAAUACAGGAAAAUAUGACCCAAAAUAGCACGUGUGCAACAGAAGAAUGUGGUAAAACCAUUUCCCCUUAAUGGUAACCACAAGUGUAGGGGACCACAACAUUCUUCGUUCGGAAGUAUCGCAACCCAAAUUCAUAUUCGACAAAAGGGGAGUCAAAAUCCACACCUGGAAAUAAAUACUUGCUUUAGAGAAUUUAUUAGUAGAGAAUGCAAUGAAGUGAUUGUUGCUUGAUUGCAAUAGUAACAAAAAGCUGCAAUACCCAGCAAUUGCCAAGUGCAAACUAUCUUUCGAGAGAGUAUCAAUUAGAGAAAACAUAGGCAUGGGGAUUGGUAAACGGAUGUUGCAUGGAUUGAUUCAAUCAUAUAAUAACACAAACGUAGGGUAUAAUUUGCUAACUCAUAUUAUUUAACUCAUAUAGGCACGUAUUCUGUAUAUUGUUGUAUGUGUUUGCAAUGAGAACUUGCACAACAUCUUUUUGUCUUACCCUCCCGUUUCUGUGGGGUUCUCAUGGAAAUUAAGGGAAAUUAAGUUGUUCAUUUUAUAGAACAUCGGAGCAAAGCAUUAACACUUAAUGAAUACAUGUAAUCCUCACAUUAUAGCCAUUCCCAUUGAUAUCCCGAUUAUUUUCACUUCGGGGUUUCCAAUGCAAAACUAUGAAAUGUGCAUAGAACUUGCAAGUAUGACCCAAACACAUAAAUAUUCAUGAAACAAAUGCGGUUCAAAUAUGAAAAUCAUAUCACUCGGGCCCUAGCGAGAAGCAUUAUGCAUAGCAAAGUCAUAACAAUAUCAAUCUCAGAACCUAAAUGACACUAAGCAUCAAACCCUAACAAAUAUGGUAACUAUUAGAUGAUGUUCUCAUCCAAUUUCCAUCCACCUCAUGUGCCUACAUGAGAUUACUCACACAUGGACGGGAGAAACACAGUGGUGAUGAUGAAUAAGGAGUUGGUGAUGUUGGUGAUGUUGAUGAUGAAGAUCUGCUCUCUUCAAAGGUCAAAUCGGCCUCUAGAUAGCCCUCCACGAAGAAGACAAAUUAGCGGUUAUCUUCGCCCCGUAGAAAAUUAGGGAAAAUCUUUAUCGAGUUUUUAGGACGAGAUAUGAUAUAUAGGUGAAAGAGGUCAGCCGAAGGAUGCCUAUGGCCCUCACUCACCCCUUGGCAUGCCCCUAAGCUUGGGUAUGUGGGCCUUGUGGGCAACCCCUUAUGUCUCCGUAUCUCCUUUUCCUCCAACUUCCCCAAAAGUUAUUUUUUACAAUAUUUAUUUUCCUUUAUAAAAAGAUAACACCAAUACAAUUUUUUUAAAACAACGCCAGCCCGGUCAGUUCUUAUUCAAAUUGUGCAAGAUGGAGGACAAAAGAUAGAAGUGUUCAAAAAAGUAUUAAAGUAUCACGGUGGAGAGCGAAGACCGUGAUGGAAGAGAGGAAGGACAAGCAGAGGAUUGUAGUCUUGCAUCCAGGAGAAAAUACUUGCAAUGAAAGUCGAUGAGCAGAUGAUCAAUAGGAAGAUCGAGGAGCACCAAAAUCGUGCUCAUGGAUGCCGCCACGAUGGUUGAAAUGGUGAGACAAUAUGGAAUGUUCUUUAUGGUGGUGCUAGUGGUUGUGAGAAUGAGAGUGCACGAUUUGGUGAAUUUUGAUGAACUAUGUGAUACGUGGCGGCUCUUGAUGAACUAUGUUGGAAUGCAAUGCCUUUUGGAUGACUUGUGUUCAUAUUUGUAGUUGAAUUGUUGAAUGCGGUUGAUGAGCAUAUUCUUAUAGCACUUUUUAUGUAUCCUUUUUACUAAGUAUGUCCCGACUUAGGCUCAUUUGUGGAAUAUAUGAACCCUAAAGGACUAUUUAAAGCAUUUGCUUUACAUUUGCAGGAUGGGUGCGCCAAGGCACCAUAAUCCCUGCUGAUUACACAAGAGACUUAGUCAAGAUGACUAUAAGGACCAACUAGCAAGCUUGUCAGGAGAAGAAGGACCUAAGCGAAAGAUUGACUGAUCAAGUGUGGACUGCCUUGGGUAAUUAAGAUAGCAUCUAACGAUAUCAUUAAAUUCUUGGGUCCCUAGUAUGUCCAUUUUCUUAUUAUAAAUUACUCCUCAUUGUCACUAUUUUGCACAUUAUAACUCAAUUCUAAUAGUUUUUCCUCUCGGUUUCCAUGAUUUACUAGAGGAUGAGAAUUGCUGGAAAGCUGCAGAACAUGAGCAAAAUAAGGACGAGUGGAGAAAAGAAUUUUCUAGAGACCAAAUAAUUACAAGAAAGUUAUAUUAAAUACUUUCAACAUGGAAGUGAGCCAGGGGCACCUGGGCCCACUUGGGAAGACCCAUGCAGGUCCCACAUGGCCACGCCUGAACGCUUGGUGUGGGUGCGUGGGGCCCACAGGUGGCUUCCCAGUUGCCUUUGGUGCCCAAUGGCCCUACGAAAGUGUAAUCAUAAUGCCCUUAAUCAUAUUUUAACCUACAAAUUGCUUCGGCAUCCGUCCGCGGGCAUGGGGACCAGUCCACAGACACGGAUGCGGUAGGUGGCCAUCCAUUGUUGCCUGCAUACAUUUUAAGUUGGGUUUCAACUAACCGAACGAUUUUCGUGCAAACAUGGUGGAUUUUCAUCAAAGUUCGGAUAAAAAAUAGCACAAAUCAUCCAUACAUAGCAUGCAAAUAAGUCUAGUACAACAAUAGUUCAUAUUCAACGAGAUUAAGGAUCAUGUCAUCCCACACAUACUGCCCCUUCAACAUCAUCCAACUAUGCAUGUGCAUAAAUGGUCGUACCUCCAUCCGGUGGUACAUCACGGCAGCACGUGAGGGCUAGAGCAUGUGUAGAGCAACAUUGAAUGAAUGAAUCAAUCAAUCAACAAAUUAAGCAAGAAGAAGCAAAACUUACGAUCUCCUCUAUCAUGCGCAAUGGCCACUUUGCCUCCAGCAUAUCAACCGUGCCACAAAACUUGGUGAUGGAGGUCUGGAUGGCGUACCAUCGAUACGAUAACAACCUCACAUUGCGAUCAUGGAUGAUGUGCAUGUCGUAGGGUGCAAUAUUCAUGCACUUGUUGCUAGAAGGUCCCCCCUCUGUUCCUGCCUACGAAACCCACGGAUACGUCCAACCACCAUCGCACAAGAACUCAUCCUCCAUGGUUGAGUACCCCUCCAUCCUUCAUACUCUAAGAAAACGACAUGGUGUUCGAAAAUAACCUCAAUAGCAUUUGCCCGAACACCUACUGGGCGUGGUGACCGCCAUGGACGGCGUCGAUAGGGGGACGGAGUGUACCUGCCUACGGACGUGUCCUGGGUGGACGACGCCGUUGUGAAAGGCGAGUGGGCGCGUCGGUGCUCGUUGCAGAGGUCCGGCAAUGCCUGUGUGCCAAACGGAGAGGUACAACGGCGACGUCAGAGGAGGAGGAGGGUGCGGAUGUAAAAAAAGGGGGAAGAUUGGAAGAAAAUGGGACCGGGAGGGGGGAUUUAGUGGGCUGGGGGUGUUGGAGUCCUACGUGGCUGUUGUCCAGACUCCGGCAAAGCCUCCUCCCUCCCCCCAAAACUUUGUCUCCGUUUUACAUGAAAAAGUGCAUCCGAACUGCCGAGCGCACUGAUACAGGCCCACGUUAGAUGACACCACACAUCCGGACCGCACGGUCCAAACGUAUACGGGCAGUUUGAGGAUCAGCGUUGGAGAUACCCUUACUUGUUAUCUUACCUGUUUGCACCAUUGAGCUGUAGAUGUGUUUGAGCAUCAAUAAACCCGUCCCUGUGGUGAACUAUGACAACUCAUAUACUUUGCACUGAUCAGUGGUGCAUUUGAAUUGUAUAAUUAUUGUUGAAAUCUUGUGGAAAUAUUUGUGCAACAGGACAAAAGAGAUAAGCUACUAGAAAAGUUACGGGAGUCAAGUUUCAAGGGGAGGGUUGGGUGUAACAACCUUUAACUCCUCCAAAUUCGAGGAGUUGAGUUUGGAGUGUCUUUUGAGGACAUAAAUUUUAGGCCAAUGCUAGGCGUCGGUCGACCGGCCCAGAUUUCGGCUGAUCGUUGUGCGUGCGUUGGAUUGAUUGCUUCCACGCAGUCUGAUUUGGUCAAUGAUUCGUUCUUCCCCCUUCGUCCACCUCGCCCACCACCACCACACCCCCUACCAGCAAACUGCAUAUGCGCGUGCGAGGGCUCCACUGUCAUUCAUCCAGCGCGUCGGGUCGUCGUCGUCGUCCGCCUCAGUGGGUGCCGUCACACACAGUCGUCGGAAGACUCGCGUGCCGCGCGUGGUCCCUGCAUGAAGCACCGCAACCCUUCCCCUGCUCGCGCAUCUCCCGCCGCCAGUCGAAGCCCCCGACCAUCGCCUGUUGCAGCGCCACUAUGAAACGGUUGCAGCUCCACUGUUGGAUGCAACUUCGCCAGUGAGGGUUGCAACUCCCACCCACGUUGGCUGCAGCCUUUUCUGCCGCCCCGCUGGUUAAAGCUUUUUCGUCGCUCAAUGGAUGUAACCUCGCCGGCGGCUAGUUCCAGCACUGCUUGAUACUGGUUCCAGCAAAAAAGAUCUCGCCAGCAGCAAGCAAACAUUCUUGCUGGUUCGAGGCUUCCAGCAAAUUUUAUUGCCGGUCCCAGCAAAAUGAUCCUCGAUGCCAUCUGGUUCCAGCAUUGGUCCACGGUGGUUGCAGCUUUUUCGCCAGGUGGCUCCAGCAAAAGAAUAUCUACAGUUGCAGCAUCGGAGCUCGCCGUUUCCGUCGGCAGCGGUGGCUGCUGGUUGUAGCAAAGCAUCAGCCGCCGGUAGGCGCCGACACUAGCCGUUGCAGCACCGUGCUCCACCCUGUCGCAGCUCUGGUCAUCGUCGAGCAGCGACAGAUGCAGCUGAGAGAGAAAAACGAGGGGAUGGUGCUGGCUCGACGGUUGGCUUUGUGGUGCUCACCGGAGAAGACAGCGAAAGAGAGGAGGAGGAGAUCCCUCGGGCGCAACAGAGGAAGAAAAAUCGGGCGAGUGGCUGAGAACGACCGCGAGAGAAGAUAAGGCACUUACUUCUCAUAUUGCGUUUCCAAAUUUAAUCAAUAAACCUUAUGUCCAGUCUCAGCAAAUACCGAAUGAGUAAUCGAUUGUCAGGUCUCAUGUAAUCUCUCCGCCCUCACACAAACUGCAUCAAAGAAACGAUGAAAACGAAAGAAACUGAAAUUGAACCAAGCACAAUCCGUACUGCACAAAAACAGCUAUAUCCUAUUAUUUGAGGGAGAUUUUUCCUCGGCAUUUCCAAAAUCAAACGGCACCUAUACUACUACAAAAACUAAAGAAUGUAAAAUUAUGUCCUCUAGCAGCUGAAGAUAGUUCUGCAGGGAAGAAAUCUAAGAUUGAUAUCUUAAGCUUCUACUUUAUAUAUCAGGCUAGUCCAUGUCCUGUCUCUCUUCUUCCUUAGCCUCUCGGCAAUGGCAAAGGCCAGCUCAAGCGACUGCGAUGCGUUCAGCCUGGGGUCGCAGUGCGUGCGGUAGCGGGAACUGAGAUCGUCGAAGGUCACUGUGUUGGAUCCACCAAUGCACUCUGUAACGUUCUGCCCUGUCAUCUCUAGGUGAACCCCUCCGGGGUAGCUCCCCUCUUGCUCAUGGACAUCAAAGAAAGCCCGAAGCUCAGCCUGCGCAGCCAUAUAAAGAAACAGUGAAAAUUCUGAACCAUGCCAUACCAAAGUUGGCAAGUCCGAACAAUGCUAUUGGAUGUCUCAAUCGCAUGUGGUUCCAGAAAACAACAGUCCAUGUCUCAUUGUAACAAACAGCAUGAAAUACCGACCAUAAGUAGGUUGUUCUAUGUCGAAUCAUGCAAAAAGUUAUCACGCUUACCCGGAUUGCAUCGAAUGAUCUUGUCUUGAGCCCGCAAGGUGCGCUGAUGGUGUUCCCGUGCAUGGGAUCGCUGACCCAGGUGACAAUCAGCCCUGCUUGACGCACGGCUCUGAUCAUAUGGGGGAGCUUGGCACGCAUGUUCUCGGCCCCCAUCCUUGUGAUAAGUGUCAGCCUCCCGGGCUUGUUGUGAGGAUUCAAAAUCUCACAGAGUUUCACAAGCUCCGAUGAAUCAAGCUUAUCACUCACCUGUAUAACAUAGACAGAGUCAUUAGAUUUGUCAACUGAUUUUUUUCCGUCUAAGACAGUCAUAAGAUUGUGACAAAUAAGAUUUAAAAAAAAAA